UACGGGGGGUGCGAGCGUUGUCCGGAAUCACUGGGCGUAAAGGGCGCGUAGGUGGUUUGAUAAGGGUGUGGUGAAAGUCCGGGGCUCAACCCCGGAUCUGCCGUGCCGACUGUCAAACUCGAGGGCUGUAGAGGCAGACGGAAUUCCGGGUGUAGCGGUGGAAUGCGUAGAGAUCCGGAGGAAGACCGGUGGCGAAGGCGGUCUGCUGGGCAGUUUCUGACACUGAUGCGCGACAGCAUGGGGAGCAAACAGG
rnacentral:rRNA from 1 species